AUUGAACGCUGGCGGCAGGCUUAACACAUGCAAGUCGAGCGGAGAUGAGGUGCUUGCGCCUUAUCUUAGCGGCGGACGAGUGAGUAAUGCUUAGGAAUCUGCCUAUUAGUGGGGGACAACAUUCCGAAAGGAAUGCUAAUACCGCAUACGUCCUACGGGAGAAAGCAGGGGAUCUUCGGACCUUGCGCUAAUAGAUGAGCCUAAGUCGGAUUAGCUAGUUGGUGGGGUAAAGGCCUACCAAGGGGACGAUCUGUAGCGGGUCUGAGAGGAUGAACCGCCACACGGGGACUGAGACACGGCCCAGACUCCUACGGGAGGCAGCAGUGGGGAAUAUUGGACAAUGGGUGGAACCCCGAUCCAGCCAUGCCGCGUGUGUGAAGAAGGCCUUAUGGUUGUAAAGCACGUUAAGCGAGGAGGAGGCUACUGAGACUAAUACUCUUGGAUAGUGGACGUUACUCGCAGAAUAAGCACCGGCUAACUCUGUGCCAGCCGCCGCAGUAACAC
rnacentral:rRNA from 1 species